rnacentral:rRNA from 1 species
GACGAACGCUGGCGGCGUGCUUAACACAUGCAAGUCGAACGGAAAGGCCCUGCUUUUGUGGGGUGCUCGAGUGGCGAACGGGUGAGUAACACGUGAGUAACCUGCCCUUGACUUUGGGAUAACUUCAGGAAACUGGGGCUAAUACCGGAUAGGAGCUCCUGCUGCAUGGUGGGGGUUGGAAAGUUUCGGCGGUUGGGGCUGGACUCGCGGCUUAUCAGCUUGUUGGUGGGGUAGUGGCUUACCAAGGCUUUGACGGGUAGCCGGCCUGAGAGGGUGACCGGCCACAUUGGGACUGAGAUACGGCACAGACUCCUACGGGAGGCAGCAGUGGGGAAUAUUGCACAAGGGGCGGAAGCCUGAUGCAGCAACGCCGCGUGCGGGAUGACGGCCUUCGGGUGGUAGACCGCUUUCGCCUGUGGCGAAGCGUGAGUGACGGUAAUGGGUAAAGAAGCACCGGCUAACUACGUG